rnacentral:rRNA from 1 species
UACAGAGGGGGCGAGCGUUGUUCGGAAUUACUGGGCGUAAAGGGCGCGUAGGCGGCCCGCUAAGUCGAACGUGAAAUCCCCAGGCUCAACCUGGGAACUGCGUCCGAUACUGGCAGGCUUGAAUCCGGGAGAGGGAUGUGGAAUUCCAGGUGUAGCGGUGAAAUGCGUAGAUAUUGGGAGGAACACCAGUGGCGAAGGCGGCUCACUGGACCGGAACUGACGCUGAGGCGCGAAAGCGUGGGGAGCGAACAGG